GAAAACCCUAGCCUUUCGCCGCUCCUCCUCUCGAGAGCACGCACGAGCUUUUCCCUCUCGCUGCGACCUAGCGGCGGUUCUCCGCAAUGAUCCUCCCUCUCGCGCACACGAAGCUCAGGCCUUCACAGUGGGACAGCCAAGCUUGUCCAACCUUUCCAUGUCUGGAUUCAAUCCUAUUGCAGCAGCAGUAAAAUCUGGCUCCUUGUCGAUCUAAAUACUGUAUUCAUAACAAAAUGACAAAAGCUUGGCAUGGCUGCUCACUUAUUCCAACAUCAAAUCAGUUUGUUACAGACUUAAACAUGUACAAUAAGCUUCCGCAAGUAAGAUAUCAAUUGCAAGAACAAAAACAGUCAAGGGCACAACACUUGCAAUCUAUAAUUGAGAUUGAUGACAGUCUUUCCAUCAUCAAGUAGCUUAAGGUCAAGUGAGUUUAGCUUCACUCUUAUGAAAAUAGAAACUGUAGAAUGAUUCCACAAACAAGGAAGAAAAAAGAUACAGGAGUCUGACUGAGAUUGCAAGAGCUCGUAUUGUCCUCUGACUGAGAUACAGGUGUGUUCUUCUUGGUGUGAGUUGUGGUGCGAACAUUACUGAUUUUGUUGCUCGAAAAGCAAUUGAGGCAGGAAAGCUGAUUGAACGGGUUAAGGUUGUCGCCCAGGUGUUGAUGUAUCCCUUCUUCGCAGGAACUGUUCUCACCCAUUCUGAACUAAAGCUAGCUGGUUGAAUUCUUUCAUGCUCUUUCCUUUUCUAUCCCGGAACAUGCAGUGUAGGAAUCAUUUCAUCAUGAUGUUGUUCCUCUUAGUUCUCAUUCUUUUAUUCCUUCACAUACUCUCUUUAAUGUACCAUCCUGUAAACUAUACAUCAAUAAUAUAGAAUAAAUGUCUCUCAA